rnacentral:rRNA from 1 species
GGAUAGCCACUGGAAAUGGUGGGUAAUACCGUAUAAUCCCCGCGGGGGAAAGAUUUAUCGCUAUUAGAUGAGCCUAUGUCGGAUUAGCUAGUUGAUGGGGUAAUGGCCUACCAAGGCAGUGAUCUGUAGCUGGUCUGAGAGGAUGAUCAGCCACACUGGAACUGAGACACGGUCCAGACUCCUACGGGAGGCAGCAGUGGGGAAUAUUGGACAAUGGGCGCAAGCCUGAUCCAGCUAUGCCGCGUGAGUGAGGAAGGCCUUAGGGUUGUAAAACUCUUUCAGUAGGGAAGAUAAUG